AAUUCCACGUGCGCAGCAAAGUGUCAGCCACCUAAAAACGGCAAGAGGCUUCGGAAUCGCGUCCGGACUGCCCAAAAAGGCAACAUAGCUAGCCAGGUUGGGUGCUUGUUUAUUUUGCUCAUCCACACAUCUCUUAAUCUUCUUGUGGACUCGCUCAGAAGGAGGCCACUUCUUCUAAAUUUGGUGUCCUGCUCGGAACUUUGUCAAUUUUUCAUUUUGCCUUUCCAACAAUUGGAGGGCAAGUUUUGUGAGGAAACAGAUGUGAUACACCACAGGAUGUCAAACUUCCUCUGGGCUUUUAUACGCACCUUAUUUUCACCCUCUGCAGCUUGACCGAUUCCCGCUCUUCUGUCACAUUUCGGUUUUGUUUUUAGGUUUUAACGCUAGUCCUUUAGCUUGGAACGCCUCUUGGCAAAAUAUAACCUUGAUCACUUGACUCAACCAUGACAUCAUUCUCAAAGUGUAGAGUCACAUCGUCGGUGCUAGCAAGGAUCUGGCUUUUAUGAAUUGCAAAGAAGCCCGGGGAUCAUCCUGCUCCCUAAUCUCCCUGACAGGAAGUAGUUAGCCUAAAUAGCGGUCCUGCCCAGGCCAGCGCUUUCCUGUCUCACUUGCAAGAUGCUGCAGGGCAGUGAUUGUGCCGUUCUCUGCUCAUAUGCUGACUAUGGACUUCCAGCAUACAAUAAAUCGACAACAUGUGCAGCAAAAUAUUGAUAAUGUGAUAUAUUUUGUGAUAUUCACUUACAAUACAAUAUCGUAUUGGUCCUUUGACAAAUUGAACCUGUUACCUGACGUGAUUGUCAGUGUUCACCGCAAAGCCAAACGAUGAGUGAUAUUACAAUGCAAGUGCUAUCGUGAGGUAUGGUAGAUGUUUUUGUCCCAAUAUAUCCGUUAUCCCACAAUCGCUGAUAGCUAUAUCAAUGUAUGGUUUUCUUCCACUGUAUCGUGACUAUCGUACAAAUGACGUCUCGUGAUAUUAUUGCUAUCGUUGGCAAAAUGUCAUCUGAUAUGUUGAGGGUUCAGUAAAUAUUGUGAUACUUCAAAUCGAUGGCAUCUGCAAAAUAUUGUGGCAUGACACCAUUUUUAUGAGCUACCUAAAAGAAAUCGUCAUGUGUCGUACAAGAUUUUUCCAAUAUGUAAUGGUUAUCGCGCAAUCGCAGUCGUCUCUAUUAUUGGUAUCGUUGAGUUUUCUGUAGUUACCUACGGUAGAUAUCGUCAUGUAUCGCACGUGAUGGAUAUCGCACACUCGCUGUUUCUUGGUAUUCAUGGUCUUAUUGGCCAAAUAUUGCAAGAUCAACUUUUAGGUUUCCAUGAGUUGUGCGGGUUGAGUGAUUUAUGGACUACGUUCUUCUAUUUAUUGUGAUAGUAUUAUCAUUGGCAAAGUAUCGUGAGAUUGUAUCAUCUUGGAUUCCAAUGCUUGCUUUCCCUUCAGUGGUUUAUGCGACACAAGGCAUCCAUCCAUCGUUUGAGGACAUUUUAGAACCUCGGGUUCUACUGUCAUUGCACAAUGAGGAGACAAACCCAAGGUCUUGUUUUUCCAUCCCCAAGGCACCUUUUUGACGACACUGAUUUAAUGUUGCUUAUUUUUGCAGGGUGUACAUUGUUUGAUUUAAAACCUGAAUUUUUUUUUUUUUUGAAGUGCUCAUUUUCUCUACACUUCCAAUAAAUACAAUCGAAUGUG